UACAGAGGUCUCAAGCGUUGUUCGGAUUCAUUGGGCGUAAAGGGUGCGUAGGUGGCGCGCUAAGUCAGGUGUGAAAUUUCGGAGCUUAACUCCGAAACUGCAUUUGAUACUGGCGUGCUUGAGGACUGGAGAGGAGACUGGAAUUCACGGUGUAGCAGUGAAAUGCGUAGAUAUCGUGAGGAAGACCAGUGGCGAAGGCGGGUCUCUGGACAGUUCCUGACGCUGAGGUGCGAAAGCGUGGGGAGCAAACAGG
rnacentral:rRNA from 1 species